CGGCGGAUGGGUGAGUAUCACGUGGGCAACCUGCCUGUAAGAUUGGGAUAACUCGCGGAAACGUGAGCUAAUACCGAAUGAAGUCUUUCACCACCUGGUGAAAGGAUGAAAGAUGGCUUUUAGCUAUCACUUACAGAUGGGCCCGCGGCGCAUUAGCUAGUUGGUGGGGUAAAGGCCUACCAAGGCGACGAUGCGUAGCCGACCUGAGAGGGUGAUCGGCCACACUGGGACUGAGACACGGCCCAGACUCCUACGGGAGGCAGCAGUAGGGAAUCUUCCGCAAUGGACGAAAGUCUGACGGAGCAACGCCGCGUGAGUGAUGAAGGUCUUCGGAUCGUAAAACUCUGUUGUCAGGGAAGAACAAGUUGUGUUCUAACAGGACAUGACCUUGACGGUACCUGACCAGAAAGCCCCGGCUAACUACGUGCCAGCAGCCGCGGUAAUACGUAGGGGGCAAGCGUUGUCCGGAAUUAUUGGGCGUAAA
rnacentral:rRNA from 1 species